CAAACGACUCUCGGCAACGGAUAUCCCGGCUCUCGCAUCGAUGAAGAACGUAGCGAAAUGCGAUACUUGGUGUGAAUUGCAGAAUCCCGUGAACCAUCGAGUCUUUGAACGCAAGUUGCGCCUGAGGCCAUUAGGCUAAGGGCACGUCUGCCUGGGUGUCACGC
rnacentral:rRNA from 1 species